rnacentral:piRNA from 1 species
UUCAUCACCAAGGAAGCCAGGAC